rnacentral:piRNA from 1 species
UAUUAAUGGUCAUGUAAAGCCGCUUCUUCA